rnacentral:rRNA from 1 species
AGCGAACGCUGGCGGCAGGCCUAACACAUGCAAGUCGAACGAACCUUUCGGGGUUAGUGGCGGACGGGUGAGUAACACGUGGGAACGUGCCUUUAGGUUCGGAAUAACUCAGGGAAACUUGUGCUAAUACCGAAUGUGCCUUCGGGGGAAAGAUUUAUCGCCUUUAGAGCGGCCCGCGUCUGAUUAGCUAGUUGGUUGAGGUAAUGGCUCACCAAGGCGACGAUCAGUAGCUGGUCUGAGAGGAUGAUCAGCCACAUUGGGACUGAGACACGGCCCAAACUCCUACGGGAGGCAGCAGUGGGGAAUCUUGCGCAAUGGGCGAAAGCCUGACGCAGCCAUGCCGCGUGAAUGAUGAAGGUCUUAGGAUUGUAAAAUUCUUUCACCGGGGACGAUAAUGACGGUACCCGGAGAAGAAGCCCCGGCUAACUUCGUG